AUUGAACGCUGGCGGCAGGCCUAACACAUGCAAGUCGAGCGAGCGGCGGACGGGUGAGUAAUGUAUGGGGACUGCCCGAUAGAGGGGGAUAACUACUGGAAACGGUAGCUAAUACCGCAUACUAUCGGAUAACCCAUAUGGGAUUAGCUAGUAGGUGAGGUAAUGGCUCACCUAGGCGACGAUCCCUAGCUGGUCUGCGAGGAUGAUCGGCCACACUGCGAGUGCGACACGGUCCGGCUGCCGACGGCGACAGGCGUGUUGAAUCUUCCGCUACGGGCGCCAACCUGGUCCAUCCAUGCCGGGUGUAUGUAGAAGGUCAGUGGGUUUGCAGCUACUUGCAGUGGGGAAGCGGUAGCGCCAGAAUAGGCACCGGCUAUCUCCGUGCCAGCAGCCGCGGUAAUAC
rnacentral:rRNA from 1 species